UACUGUUCGAUUUGUUCAGAGAAAUUCAGACUUAUCGAUUCGGUCCGUCGGUUACUGUUCGAUUUGUUCAGAGAAAUUCAGGAUAACGUUCGGCCGACACCUGUUGAGCCUGCAUGGAAGGGAGAGAUGAUCGUUUCUUCUCCUCCACAAGCUGAUAUGCACUUCUUAAACCGACAUGGAUUGCGCAUCGACAGAUUCUCCUUUUUUUUUCCUGUCUCUUCUUCCCCCUUUUUUUUUUUUCUGAGUUUUUUCAAUUACUGACGAGUAAACCCUAGAUUCAAUUACUGAGAGUUUUCGUUUACCGGCCUCUAGUUUCUUUAAAUGGGCGGUACCAUAACCAGAUCUGACUGUUUGUUGCCAUUUUUAGAGGAAACGAAAACGAAAUCUCACCUACUUUUUCCCCUUGUAAUUUCUCUCCUCUUCUUUUCUUUCUUUCUUUUUCCCAUUUUCUGGGGAAAAAACUGACAGAAGAGAGUGAGCACACAGUGGUAAAUUGGCUAUAAAUCUGUAUACCCUUGCUCUUGUGUGCUCACUUCUCUUCUGUCAUUUUCCAGAAUUUGAUCUCCCCCUCUCUCUCUCUCUCUCUCUCGAUCGAUCGAAUUGCCAUUUCUGUUGUUCUUGAUACAUCAAAAUUGCACUGGGUAGAAUAUUUUAUUAUAUUUUGUGGGAUUUAAUGGCAUGGAAGCGUGGCUUUUGAUGGGUUUUUUUUUAAAAGUUCUUUGAGAAGGUAACCCUAAUUACUGUUGCUUAAUUAACGGAAAAUUAAACUGUAUGAUUAUGGGACCAUUACUCUGUUGUACUAGCACGUUAAACGUCUCCAUCAUUCUAGGCUGGUCCUCCACACAAAUCCCUCUCCCUCUCUCUCUCUAAAUCUGACUCUCUCUCUCUAUAUCUCUCUCUCUCAUCAGCGACUUGGAGUUACUCUAUCUUGUUAUGAUUUUUCCUUUUUUUAAAUCACGCGCAUGCAAUGUUUACUUGAGAAUUGUUUCCAAUUUGGAGUUUGUUUUUCCACCUGAAUCUGGCCAUCCUCAGAUGGUUUGUGCGCUCAAUGCACAAAUGGGGACCAUUUCUUGUUCAACUCAAUCUCAGUGCAAAUGGGUUUUUACCAAUUUCGUGAGUUCCAAUUUUUGUUUUCUUUGUUGAGAGUUGUUAAUUGGUUAUUCCUAACUUUUCAUUUUUACUUUUCUCAGUCUACUCUAUUUCCUUCCAUGUUUUCACCCUCUUUUGUUUGCCUCUUGUUCCUUUCAGUUUUGUUUUCCAGUUAUGGAUCGUGAUGGAAGCUUGUGAUCGAGAUUCUGCUAUGGACGAAAAUGUCACAGGAGAAGAUGAAGACCAGGUUGAGUUCGUGAAUUCGACUGUUCCUUGACCGGAACAGCGAUACUGGGGCGGGCGCGACGCAACCGAUUCUUGGCCAUUACUUGCUUUAGAUGCUGCGCUCAUUGCACACCAAGGUGUUCAUGCAUCUUUUUGCCCUUUUUGAAGUUAGAGUUUUGUCUCGACACGCUAUAGGUGCGAGUGGAAUGAGCAAAUGGGAUUACAUCAUGGAACAUACAGUAUUCGCAAUUUGACUUCCGAGCUAAUUAUUGUCAUGUUGCUGGUUUCUUCUUCUUCUUCUUAUUCGCCUUUUGGUUCCCUUGGCUCCCUACUCCCAAGUGUACGGUCCUGAUAAGUUUAAAUUAUGUAUGCAUGGACCAGUCGAACUUCUAGGGGAUCACAUUCUACUUUAAUGUAACUGGCCUCAUUUGAUUGGAGAUGGGAGGAAAAAGCUAGAGAAUAUGACUGAAAAUUUGGUAAACCAUUUAGCUUAAUUUUAGUAAAAUAGACUGUUCAAUUGGAUGCUGCUGAAUGGAAGAUGGUUUUAAAUUUUGAUUUCAAUUAUUGCCCUUGUCUUAAAUCUUGAUUUCUUAUUUUCAUACUUGAAAUUGUGGUGUAUAAUAAUAAGUAGAGUAAGUUUCUAAGGCUUUCAUUGGUUGGUAAAGUUUUUCUUUUCUAUUUUUUUUUUCAAAAGAACUUAAAUGCACAAGUUUUUUGCUUCAAAAAAUUGUAACAGCCAUUGAAACAUACAGAUUUUGACGGGAAAGAAAUGUGCAUUAUCGCUUGUUUUGGAAAUAAGUUUUAAUGCCCUCUGGUCACUGCCUCCCCUUUCUCCAGCAAUACACUACUAAUGGUUAUAUAACAGUAUGCGUGUGUGUGUUUCAGGAAUACGAUUCCUUCACACAUGUUCUCUGAUUUUGAAAGAAAACGAAAAACCUCUCUUACAGUAUUGCUCUCCUCACAUAUUUAGGGAAAUAGGAAACCUUCAACGUCAAGUAGCUGCUACUAAAAACGUAAAGAAAAUUAAUGGAAGAAUCGAAGUGAGAAAUGCUAAAUCUUUUUCCCAUUGUAGUACUUGCUUUAGUUUGUCUUUUGGUGCUGAUAUGGAUCUCGCACUUUGCCUCGUAUUCAUGAGUUUUAUUCUCCCUCUAUGAAAUGGAAUCCUCCUUCAUUAUCAAUCGCAUCUACUCUAUUUAUUAGGUCAAAGCUGUGCAGCCAUUGGUAAAGAAAUUUUAUGUCAUUCCCAUCCAAACUCUUUACAUUGGACCGUAAAUUCAAUAAUAGACCUGGGCAUUAGGUUCAACUUCCAAGUCUUCUGGAUUUUAAAUAUGUUUUCACCAAUUUUAUAUACUAGACCGUUGGUUAAACUUGUCCUCAUUAUUGCCAUUGUUUUUGUCUCUCUCAUUGUAUCAUCUCUCUUUUGGUGAUGUUAGGUUUCACUAUUCACUACUGUAUUGUGGCCCUGUGGUAUUUGACAAGCAACAAGGGUUUUCUACUUCUAGGUCAUUGAUUUGGAUUUAGAUAAGUUCUUGAGACACCUAAUCGCCCGUGUCUUUUUCUGUGCAUGAUGUCUCACGAGGCGUAGUAUUGUUAGGGUAUUCCUUCCAUAUUCCUAAUCACAUUUAUAUCUUGGAGGUUUACUUCUUUUAGAGUUAUAAGGAAUUCGUUGCUUAAAUACGACUGAUGCCCAGGCCAUCUACGAGCACACAAGGACAUGUACUGAAAUUUAGGAGAAAGUUGGACUUAUAAUGGACUCGUAGGGGUCAUGAGACUACUUUUUGUGCUGAUUGUGCAUUGUCUUGGCUUGCAAGGGCAAGUAUUAAUUUUUGGCUGUCAUUGUAAACUCCCUCAUUCUCAUGCUUUGUACAAAAUUUCAAUACUUGAAAAGUGUUUGUCGUUAAUUUUCCAGUUGCAUCUAGUUAGGAUUGCUUAUAUGUGAUAUCUAGGUCAUAAAUGAGCCUCUAUUCAUUCAGCUUCACACAGUUCAUACAGAAUGUCACCAUACGACUUGAAGAAUAGGUAAAACUCUAUUCGUUAUGUUAAGAGAAGCAAUGCAUUGGCAUCAUAGUUUACUGUACUUGCUAUAUGGUUAAAGGGAUGCUGACUUUUUGGCCCCCAAGUUUCCUGUAUCGUAAGUAUCUACUAAAAGCUCCGUUUUCUCCACCUCUGACAUAGAGAAGAUUAUUAAAUCCUUAGUUUCUUAGGGAUCUUUUUGGUGGAGAAACAUGAAUUCGUAAAAAGAAGUUCUUGUAUGCUUUAGUUGCUUACAUCAUUCAUAAAAAAUUUGUUGUGCGUAGUUUGGAAAGUUAGCAAGUUAUGUUGUGUCGUUUCCUCGUAUUAAGUUCUGAGGGGAGUUAUUGUUGCCGUAGCCAUGGUCCUUGUUAUAAUUGUGUCUUUGGCAUGAUGCAAUUAACCUACUCUCUUAACUUGGUCAUAAAUAACUCAUAAAUUAAGGACACCGACACACCCACUCGACACCAAAAACCGAGUGGACAUAAGCAACUUUAAACUGUUUAGCUUCCUUGGACAAUCUGAUUAUGAAAUAUUCAUGUUUUUCUUAAUGGAGUUAUCCAUUGUUAGAAUCUUCCCAUGGGCGCCCCGCGCCUCCCAUUUGGUAUGGAAGAGGUAUAUAGCUAUCCUCUUUAUAAAGGAUUUGGUAUAGCAAGUUCUAGGGUUGGAGCCUUUGAGGUCUAUCUUCUUCAUACCCGCCUAGAUUAUUCAUCUCGUGUAGAGUUUUAAUUACUCGACGAGACCUCAAUCUAGCUCUUGAUUAUGCAUUGGCCUCUGGGGAACAACAUCUCAAUGGCAUCGUAUCCACCUCAAUCCUCUGGUGAUUUUUUUUUGUUAUAAUUGUCCAAGUUCAGCUAUAGCAAUUUUCAUCCAGUUGAGCUUAGAGUUAAAAAAUUUGGAGAUCUUCUGAGUUGUGUUGCAACCAAAACCCUUAGGAGAGAACUCGCCUAGGCCUCCAGAACCAGUGAGCAAUGUAUUUUACUUUGCGACUGAAUUUCUACGGUAAUCAUUUUCAUGAUGGUAAUUCAUGUUGUUAGACCUUUCUACUGUAUACCUUCCAAUGACAUGUUUUCAACACAAUGGACCAAUUCGAUUCGCUUUAUGAAGUAGCUAUGGCUGGCUAAGGAUCCUUGUGGUGUGGUCUUUUUGCUAGGGUAAAAUGAGAUGUUCUUGUUUUUCCUAGCAAUAAGUUGCACAUUCCCAAUUUCUUACUUUCAGCUUUGGAGCUAUUGCUACAAUUUACUGAAGCUAUAGUUGUGCACUCUUUUUGACAGGGCUUCUAUUUUAUCCCCUCCCCCCCCCCCCCCCCCCCCCCCCCCCCCCCUUUUUUUUUAAUUUGAUUAAGAAAUUAAUUUUUUCUUUUGCAUUUUUUCUGUUUUUGAUAACUCAGGUUGUCAAGCUAAGGCCAGCUUACCCACACCUCGACGAAUUCCUGAAGGGCUAAUCCCUUUGUCCAUUAGCGGGGAGCCCGAUUAAAGCCAGAUCAAAGCUUCGAAUGGACUGCCCGUCCCACGCUAUACCCAGAGUUAAUAGCAUGUAGAAAGUUUUGAACCUGAGACCCAAGUGGAGCAAUCCUCUAAGUCCUUUUUGGUGUUGCUGGUCCGACAUAAUUAGUACCAACAUUUUUGUUUCUAAUUCUUCAGGAAUUUCUUAAUGAUGCUUUCAUACUGAUGAUCUUUGACAAUGGGAAUGGCGGUUUGUGGUCAUUUUCCUUUCUUCUUGAACCUGGGGUUCAGACGCAUUCGAUUAGUACUUGUCAUUUGUAUUCAUUUUUUUCUUUGCUUGGCAUUAAUAUUGAAGUAUUACCCCCAAGCUUGUUAAUUAUUUGGACACUGUUUGAUUUUGGAUAUCUGGAUCUUUAAUAGAUUUCCCGUUUC